UGCUGUCAUAAGUGAGACGAGCUGAGUCACCAUAAGAUGCCCGGGACGCCAUGAACUGGAUGCUCACCAGCCGGGGGAGCCUGCGAUGCACUUAGGCUGUUUCCGGACAGCUCACAGUCGUCACGACAGGGUAAAGACUAGGUCGGCACAGAUGACUUCAUAUUCCUUUGUAAUUCUUCUGCUUCUCCAUCAAGUAGGUACCCAUGCUUGAUAUCCUAGUCCUUGGCCCUCUUUAAACAUUUUUUCCCUCCUAGGUCAUUCUUUCUUCCUGGCGUUCAGAGAAAUGGUUAAUCCUGAGAGAGGAAGCCGAGGACUGAGUUUUGUUAGUCCUGGCAAAAACUCUA
rnacentral:lncRNA from 1 species